AAGGACUUAGCCUACAUCAUCCUGUUCAAGACGGAGGAGAACGUCCGUAGUGUGUGAGAAUUUACUUUCUGCCUCAGUUAUAAACCGUGGCGAAAUUCCAGCCUAUACCCAGAAGUAGCAUGAUAUUUUGGUACGUUUCCCGAUAAAGGAUAACGAUUUCAGGAGCACGAUUUUUCCCUUUGACUGUAUGGGGCAGCCUACCUCAGGAACAAGAGACUUCAAAGACAUUUUCCACCCGCAAAGCAGACUACCAGCAGCAGAAAGCGGGAAACUGCUUUUUGGUGCUAAUCUAAAUGAGCUGGAACAGUUUGACACCGCCUAGCUCAGGUAACAGGUGGGUGCGCGGAUUGUUUGGAAAAAGAAGCCUGUGUCGCUAUAACGUUUUUCCUCACUGUGGCGUGCCCGCUAACAAGUAUCAAGAGGUGAACCGGAAGACUGCGGCAUCAAAAACGAAUAUCAUGGAAGUUGAAGUAUUUCGACGGAGUUCAUGACCCGCUGUAUGGAGAAAACCACGCCGGGCUCUGUUGGAAGGACGAACCGGUGAUCCACGCACAGGGGUGCUGACGGAGGACCCGGCGAUCUGCAGGAGAAGGGCUCUGGGUGAAUGCGCUCGGUUCCAGGAGCGGGCGGCCUCGUCGGCGGCCCCCAUAGGCUGAGCGGGUGCCGUGGAGCUCAGGCCCGAGCUCCUGUGGAGACUGGGAGACCCCCGCUGCCUGGAGCAUGUCAUGACAGCCUGGCCCCUUCACGGCCCUGCCCGCUGCUUCUCUGCCUAUAUAGCAUUAGCCAUUGCUGAGAGUGCUAUUCUCUUCUAUAGGAACUGGCAGAUUUAGACAAGCUCGGUCUUCUAACACCGUGCACAUCCCCAAGUCAUAUUUCUGGUUCUUAAUGAUGGGUUUCCUUUUUUUUGAAUUGUGUGUUCUCGUGUCUUUAUGUGAAUACCGCUUUUGCAUUUCAUGUUUUGCUCCCAGUCAUAGUUAAGUCCUCAAGAUUUAUGGCACUAUAUGUUAUACAGGGAGUCCAGGCCUGCGUGCAGUGUGCAUUAAACCAUUAUAGGGAUGAUAAUGAAAAAUAAGAUAUUCUAGUGGGGGUCAUUUGUAAAUGUAAAUGCAUAUUUCUGUUCUUGCUUACACAGUGCACAAUCCUUCUUUUGAAACCUGUAUAAAGAUGCUCGGUUAAA